rnacentral:lncRNA from 1 species
AUGCUGGAAACUUCAGAACGUUUAAUUGUUUCUCUCCCGGGAAGUCAAGGCGCCGGCACCGGCAGCGGCAGCAACAGCAACUCAGAACUGCGGCUGAUGCUUCCCGCACUUCUUGCAGAAGGUGCGCCGGGUCUUGGGCACGUUCACCAUGAUGGCGGCUGCGGCGGCACCGGGCGCGGGAGGGGAUUCCUCGAGUCGGCUUCUCGCGGGGCCGGGCUUCUCGUCGACUUUUCGGCGCCGGGAAGGACACGGGAUGAGACGGACAAAGUUCUGAGAGAAAAAGCUGCCGGAGCCGGGAGCGAGGCGACCGGACGCACGAGACUCCCGGGGAGGAAGGGCCGAAGGCACGGGGACGCCGUUCUAUUGGCUCGCUCGAAGCGGAAGCGGAAGGGGAAGGUACCCAGGAGGCCAAGCGAGCCGGGUUAGCCGGAAGACCUGGUAAGUCCUGACGAAAGUGCCGAAGUGCUCGGAAGGCGCCGCUCUUUGGCGGCGGCGGCGGCCUUUCUGGGCGCGAAUGUGCUGUUGGGGUGUUGAGCAGUGAUUUACCGCCGGCUUGCGGGGCUGUGGCUACCGACGAGGGCUGAGUUUUAGCGAUUUACGACAGUUUGUUGCUCCUUUGUCGCCAUGGUGAUGAUCAUUUUAAAAAGCCUGGUUGUAAACACUGACUCGUGAUAAGGGUUUUAAAACGUGUUCUCGUUUGCGGUGAAAGAGUUCUAUCCUACCUCGGGGAAGCACGUGGCCAGGCCUGUUGGGAGGGGCGCAGACGCUGCCGCCCGCGGGGACCGGAAGUGGUGGAACCCUUUCGCUUGGUGCACGUACUUUUUAAAAAAACAAGUCAGCCAUUAUUAAAUGCCUACUGUGUGCCAAGCGCUGUGCCAAUUAAAAAUAGUUUACAAGCAUUUUAAAACAUUAGACUGGCUUUCCUACAAUUCCCUCAGCAUGUUGAUCCAAUUUUAUAAAAACUUGAAAAAUUAAAUACUUAAUACCCACAAAGUCCAGGAAAACAAUUCCCAACCAGGCCGUGACUGAAAAUGUUUGCCUCUUUCUGCAUUUUAAUUUCAUCCCUUCUGUGUGAGGCAUGUUUCAUAUUUAUUCUUAGGGACUUGUAUUCUCUCCGCCCCUGGACAGAAUUCUCAAGCUUUUCAAAAAGCUUUUUCAAUAUAAUGUUAUUAUGAAAAUGGCCCUAGUUCUCAUUUCACCCUGCAUCAGUUCAUAAGGGUGUCUCUCAACUUCCCUAUGAAAUUUUUCAUUUAAUCAUUUCUAAGGCACAGUAAUAUUUAUUCACAUACCAAUGGGUAUGUGAUCAUUCCCCAAAGGGAGCACACCUCCUACUUUACAAUUUUUGGCUCUCAGAAAAAAUCAGCAAUA